GUAAAAGCAAUCUAUCCUCUCCGUUCCGGCGCCGCCUAAGGUGAGAAGCUCAUGGCUAUGGCGAUGGCCACCGCCGAAGGCGACUCAAUCGAGUUUCCAGUUGACAGGUAAAUUUUCCCGCCCCCAUUCUUUUCCUCCGUGGAAUCCGAAGUACGUAGACCACCAUCCUAUUCCUGUGCUGCUUUGUUUUACCUAGAUUUCCCCUGCCGGAUCUCGCCGGCGGAGACCCAUUUGUGAUCCGCCGGAAUCACCAAAAUUCUCGUAUGUGCGGCUGCUGAGUCCAGCAUUGGAGAUGCUGGAGAGGCGGCAGUCACCAUACAAUUAUAUUUGCACAGCACUUGCGAUGGAGUGGCCCUGUCAGCACCAACCUCCCAGCAAUCUUCACACAAAGACGGCCCUACAUCCCCUCGAUGGACACGAAGAGUCCGUGUCGGUCGUGCACCUUCAGAACGUCAACCAUGUGCUGCAAGGAUGAGUGCCCUGGAAAAAAAUAUUUCGUCGAUAUGCAGAGAAGAAAAGUGACACUGUCAUAGUUCCUGUAGUUGGUAGCAACUUCGAUUCACUUGGGGAAGCUUAUGAUUAUUACAAUCUCUAUUCAUGGGAAAUCGGAUUUGGAGUAAGGUAUGGAAAGAGCAGGGUAAAUGUUGAAAGAACAAAAUGCAUGCAAGAGAUAGUUUGUGGGUUCUCUGGAAUCCCAAAGAAGAGUAACAUACGGACAUACAGAUGCAGAUGCCCUACAAUGAUACGGUUGCUUCGGUCUAAUGACAAUGGCUGGUACAUAAACGAGUACAGACCAGAUCACAAUCAUGCACUCACUGGAAAAUAUGGUGAGAAAGUUUACUGGCCUUCACACAGGCAUAUUGAUAUAUAUACACGGGGUGUUAUCAAACAGCUCCGUGAAAAUAAUAUCAGCAUUGGCAAAGUGUACAAUAUAAUCGGCAGUUUCUUUGGUUCAAUGGACAAUGUAUCAGUCAGCAAAAGAGCUCUGCGGGGGUUGUGUGGCAAGAUCAAUCGAGAACAAGCAGAUAAUGAUGUGAAGAAGACAAUAGAUGUUUUGCAGAGUUAGGAGCAAAAGACUCUGGGUUAUACUACAGAGUACAACAUGAUGGAGAGAGCCGCAUACGGAACUUGUUAUGGUCAACAGGAGCCAACAGAGCACAAUACCACUAUGCUCACAGUUGAUGAAUUCAAGACUGCAAGGAAGCAAUUAACCGAAAGAUAUGGUUUGCAAAAACACAAUUACCUCACCCAAAUAUAUGAAACGAGGGAAAAAUGGGCAAAACCAUAUUUUAAUGGAAAGUUCUGUGGAAAGAUGACAAUCACACAACGUAGCGAGAGUGCCAACCAUAUGUUGAAGACUUAUGUUCCAGCUAGGUGCCCCAUGCAUCUAUUUGUUCGCCAGUACAUGAGACUUCUUUUUGAUAGAGACGCACCAAGAUAGUAGCCCCUGUUAUGAAAAUAAACACACCACUCGAGCUGCAUGCCAGCAAAAUCUACACACGAGCCAUAUUAGAAAAUUUUGUGGAAGUUAUAUAUGAAGCAGGACAAUACAAAGUAGAAGAGGUUACUAAAGGUAAAACAUAUUUUGUUCGACGAUAUCAUCCAAAAAAACAUGAACAAAUGUGCAGGAUUGUAUACAAAGUGGAAGUUGUCGAUGGAAGGGCAAACCUGAUAUGUGAGUGUGGCAAUUUUGAACACACUGGCUUGCUCUGCUGCCAUGGGGUCAAGUUAAGAAAGCAUUCUAUUCUCCUCGUAAAACAACUGUCUCAAAAAGCAAAAUAGAUGUGCAUGUGAUAGGCACUUGAUUUCCUCGGCAUAGACCAAAUACCUGCAAAACAUAUUAUGAAAAGUUGGACAAAGGAUGCAAGAGAUGUACUGCCAGCUCACCUGUCACAUAUUCAGAACGACAACAUUUAUGUACAUUCAGUAACAUCCAGACAUUUGAAUCUGUACACACACGCACUCGAAGUAGUGAGGUUGGGAGAUGCAAAUCCAGAAGCAUGUGAGUGUGCAAUGGAAAUGUUGAACCAAAAAUGGAUAAACUAUCACCAAUAGCUGCUGUCCGUGAUGGAAUCGGAUUGGAAGACAGACAGAACUCUGCAAACAAAAAAUAAAGGUAGAGAAGCUCUUCCAGCAAUUGUACAAGCCAGCGGCAAUGCAAGUGAUGCAGAAGGAAGUGCAGUUGGGGAUUUUAUAGGAUUAAAAGCUCCAGAGCGAAAAAGAAAGGCCGGACGACCAACCAACAGCAGGGACAAACCUCCAUAUGAUGAUCGAGGUGCAAAAAGCAAGAAAUUCAAGCAACGAGCAACUGCACAGGAUGUCGGCAAGUGCAGCACAAGCAAACGGAUUCGCUUGUGCAGUAUAUGCCGAGAACCAUGACACAAGAGCCCCACAUAUCCACAGAGAGAUCUUCCCCAGAAGGAGAGGAAAUAGGCAAAAUGCUCAGACUGUGGAAUCGGUGGGCACAGGAGAACUUGCAACAACCUAAAAGUUGUUCUCCAUGUUGAACCGAUUACUCUGGAAACAAAUGUCAUUACCACGAUUGAAUUAAACUUGCAGACUCUCUGUUGUUGAGGCCUCAGCAUGCAGUAUUUAUAUAUCAUCUGUGUAAUAAGACACAGCGUUUGUUGCUGUGUGCUACGUGCUGUGUUUGUUAACGAGAGAACCUGUUCAUCAACAAGUCUCAUCGCUGUUAAACUACAAGUACAAUCUAUGUACGAGCAUAAAUUCCUGAAAGUUCACCAUUUUAUUA